UUUAUGGAGAGUUUGAUCCUGGCUCAGGAUGAACGCUGGCGGCGUGCCUAAUACAUGCAAGUCGAGCGAACGGACGAGAAGCUUGCUUCUCUGAUGUUAGCGGCGGACGGGUGAGUAACACGUGGAUAACCUACCUAUAAGACUGGGAUAACUUCGGGAAACCGGAGCUAAUACCGGAUAAUAUUUUGAUCUGCAUGGUUCAAAAGUAAAAGACGGUCUUGCUGUCACUUAUAGAUGGAUCCGCGCUGCAUUAGCUAGUUGGUAAGGUAACGGCUUACCAAGGCAACGAUGCAUAGCCGACCUGAGAGGGUGAUCGGCCACACUGGAACUGAGACACGGUCCAGACUCCUACGGGAGGCAGCAGUAGGGAAUCUUCCGCAAUGGGCGAAAGCCUGACGGAGCAACGCCGCGUGAGUGAUGAAGGUCUUCGGAUCGUAAAACUCUGUUAUUAGGGAAGAACAUAUGUGUAAGUAACUGUGCACAUCUUGACGGUACCUAAUCAGAAAGCCACGGCUAACUACGUGCCAGCAGCCGCGGUAAUACGUAGGUGGCAAGCGUUAUCCGGAAUUAUUGGGCGUAAAGCGCGCGUAGGCGGUUUUUUAAGUCUGAUGUGAAAGCCCACGGCUCAACCGUGGAGGGUCAUUGGAAACUGGAAAACUUGAGUGCAGAAGAGGAAAGUGGAAUUCCAUGUGUAGCGGUGAAAUGCGCAGAGAUAUGGAGGAACACCAGUGGCGAAGGCGACUUUCUGGUCUGUAACUGACGCUGAUGUGCGAAAGCGUGGGGAUCAAACAGGAUUAGAUACCCUGGUAGUCCACGCCGUAAACGAUGAGUGCUAAGUGUUAGGGGGUUUCCGCCCCUUAGUGCUGCAGCUAACGCAUUAAGCACUCCGCCUGGGGAGUACGACCGCAAGGUUGAAACUCAAAGGAAUUGACGGGGACCCGCACAAGCGGUGGAGCAUGUGGUUUAAUUCGAAGCAACGCGAAGAACCUUACCAAAUCUUGACAUCCUUUGACAACUCUAGAGAUAGAGCCUUCCCCUUCGGGGGACAAAGUGACAGGUGGUGCAUGGUUGUCGUCAGCUCGUGUCGUGAGAUGUUGGGUUAAGUCCCGCAACGAGCGCAACCCUUAAGCUUAGUUGCCAUCAUUAAGUUGGGCACUCUAAGUUGACUGCCGGUGACAAACCGGAGGAAGGUGGGGAUGACGUCAAAUCAUCAUGCCCCUUAUGAUUUGGGCUACACACGUGCUACAAUGGACAAUACAAAGGGCAGCGAAACCGCGAGGUCAAGCAAAUCCCAUAAAGUUGUUCUCAGUUCGGAUUGUAGUCUGCAACUCGACUACAUGAAGCUGGAAUCGCUAGUAAUCGUAGAUCAGCAUGCUACGGUGAAUACGUUCCCGGGUCUUGUACACACCGCCCGUCACACCACGAGAGUUUGUAACACCCGAAGCCGGUGGAGUAACCUUUUAGGAGCUAGCCGUCGAAGGUGGGACAAAUGAUUGGGGUGAAGUCGUAACAAGGUAGCCGUAUCGGAAGGUGCGGCUGGAUCACCUCCUUUCU
rnacentral:rRNA from 1 species